rnacentral:rRNA from 1 species
AGAGUUUGAUCCUGGCUCAGAAUGAACGCUGGCGGCGUGCCUAACACAUGCAAGUCGAACGAGAAAGCGGGCUUCGGCCCGUGAGUACAGUGGCAGACGGGUGAGUAAUACGUGGGUAACCUGCCCAGAGGUGGGGGAUAACCCUUCGAAAGGAGGGCUAAUACCGCAUGAUAUCUCGGGGGCUUCGGCUUUCGAGAUCAAAGCUUGCCUCUAUUUAUAAGCAAGCGCCACCGGAGGGGCCCACGCCCCAUUAGCUUGUUGGUGAGGUAACGGCUCACCAAGGCGACGAUGGGUAGCCGGCCUGAGAGGGUGAUCGGCCACACUGGAACUGAGACACGGUCCAGACUCCUACGGGAGGCAGCAGUGAGGAAUCUUGCGCAAUGGGCGAAAGCCUGACGCAGCGACGCCGCGUGGAGGACGAAGGCCUUCGGGUCGUAAACUCCUGUCAAGCGGGACGAAUCCUGGACGGAUGAAUAAGCCGGCCAGUUGACGGUACCGCUGGAGGAAGCCCCGGCUAACUCCGUGCCAGCAGCCGCGGUAAUACGGAGGGGGCCAGCGUUGUUCGGAAUUAUUGGGCGUAAAGGGCGCGUAGGCGGCCUGGUAAGUCAGUUGUGAAAUCCCUCGGCUCAACCGAGGAACUGCGACUGAAACUGCCGGGCUUGAGUCCCGGAGAGGGUGGCGGAAUUCCCAGUGUAGCGGUGAAAUGCGUAGAUAUUGGGAGGAACACCGGUGGCGAAGGCGGCCACCUGGACGGGUACUGACGCUGAGGCGCGAAAGCGUGGUGAGCAAACAGGAUUAGAUACCCUGGUAGUCCACGCCGUAAACGAUGGGUACUUGGUGUUGCGGGUAUCGACCCCUGCAGUGCCGAAGCUAACGCAUUAAGUACCCCGCCUGGGGAGUACGGUCGCAAGGCUGAAACUCAAAGGAAUUGACGGGGGCCCGCACAAGCGGGAGCAUGUGGUUUAAUUCGACGCACGCGAAAACCUUACCUGGGUUUGAUUGCGGUGGACCGCUCCAGAGAUGAGCUUCCCUUCGGGGCUGCCGUGAAGUGCUGCAUGCUGUCGUCAGCUCGUGUCUGAGAUGUUGGGUAAGUCCGCACGAGCGCACCCUUGCCUUACUGCCAGCGGUCGCGGACUCUUAGGGGACUGCCGUAUACGAGAAGGUGGAGACGACGCUCAGUCACUCAUGGCCUUAUGUUCCAGGCUCAUCACUCUACUCACACGACGUGGU